rnacentral:rRNA from 1 species
UACGGAGGUGGCAAGCGUUGCUCGGAAUCACUGGGCGUAAAGGGCGCGUAGGCGGGGAGGUAAGUCGGGUGUGAAAUCCCUCGGCCCAACCGAGGAACUGCGCCCGAGACUGCUUCUCUUGAGUCCCGGAGAGGAAGGUGGAAUUCCCGGUGUAGCGGUGAAAUGUGUAGAGAUCGGGAGGAACACCGGUGGCGAAGGCGGCCUUCUGGACGGUGACUGACGCUGAGGCGCGAAAGCGUGGGGAGCAGACGGG